rnacentral:rRNA from 1 species
AUUGAACGCUGGCGGCAGGCCUAACACAUGCAAGUCGAACGAGUGGCGGACGGGUGAGUAAUGUCUGGGAAACUGCCUGAUGGAGGGGGAUAACAACUGGAAACGGUAGCUAAUACCGCAUACCAACGGAUGUGCCCAGAUGGGAUUAGCUAGUAGGUGGGGUAAAGGCUAACCUAGGCGACGCUCCCUAGCUGGUCUGAGAGGAUGACCAGCCACGCUGGAACUGAGACACGGUCCAUACUCCUUCGGGAGGCAGCAGUGGUGAAUAUUGCACAAUGGGCGCAAGCCUUAUGCAGCCAUGCCGCGUGUAUGAAGAAGGCCUUCUGGUUGUAAAGUACUUUCAGCGGGGAGGCGUUACCCGCAGAAGAAGCACCGGCUAACUCCGUGCCAGCAGCCGCGGUAAUAC